ACACAUGCAAGUCGAGGGGCAGCAUAAUGGAUAGCAAUAUCUAUGGUGGCGACCGGCGCACGGGUGCGUAACGCGUAUGCAACCUACCUUUAACAGGGGGAUAACACUGAGAAAUUGGUACUAAUACCCCAUAAUAUCAUAGAAGGCAUCUUUUAUGGUUGAAAAUUCCGAUGGUUAGAGAUGGGCAUGCGUUGUAUUAGCUAGUUGGUGGGGUAACGGCUCACCAAGGCGACGAUACAUAGGGGGACUGAGAGGUUAACCCCCCACACUGGUACUGAGACACGGACCAGACUCCUACGGGAGGCAGCAGUGAGGAAUAUUGGUCAAUGGACGCAAGUCCGAACCAGCCAUGCCGCGUGCAGGAUGACGGCUCUAUGAGUUGUAAACUGCUUUUGUACGAGGGUAAACGCAGAUACGUGUAUCUGUCUGAAAGUAUCGUACGAAUAAGGAUCGGCUAACUCCGUGCCAGCAGCCGCGGUAAUACGGAGGAUUCAAGCGUUAUCCGGAUUUAUUGGGUUUAAAGGGUGCGUAGGCGGUUUGAUAAGUUAGAGGUGAAAUUUCGGGGCUCAACCCUGAACGUGCCUCUAAUACUGUUGAGCUAGAGAGUAGUUGCGGUAGGCGGAAUGUAUGGUGUAGCGGUGAAAUGCUUAGAGAUCAUACAGAACACCGAUUGCGAAGGCAGCUUACCAAACUAUAUCUGACGUUGAGGCACGAAAGCGUGGGGAGCAAACAGGAUUAGAUACCCUGGUAGUCCACGCAGUAAACGAUGAUAACUCGUUGUCGGCGAUACACAGUCGGUGACUAAGCGAAAGCGAUAAGUUAUCCACCUGGGGAGUACGUUCGCAAGAAUGAA
rnacentral:rRNA from 1 species